rnacentral:rRNA from 1 species
UUCCGGUUGAUCCUGCCGGACCUGACUGCUAUCGGAUUGAUACUAAGCCAUGCGAGUCUUUGCAGUAAUGCAAGGCAUACGGCUCAGUAACACGUAGUCAACUUACCCUAUGGACGAGGAUAAUCUCGGGAAACUGAGCAUAAUACUCGAUAGAUCAUAAUGCCUGGAAUGGUUUAUGGUUGAAAUGAUUCGUCGCCAUAGGAUGGGACUGCGGCCUAUCAGCUUGUUGGUGAGGUAAUGGCCCACCAAGGCGAUUACAGGUACGGGCUCUGAGAGGAGAAGCCCGGAGAUGGGUACUGAGACAAGGACCCAGGCCCUAUGGGGCGCAGCAGGCGAGAAAACUUUGCAAUGUGCGAAAGCACGACAAGGUUAAUCCGAGUGAUUUCUGCUAAAGAAAUCUUUUGCAAGUCAUAAAACCACUAGUGAAUAAGGGGUGGGCAAGUUCUGGUGUCAGCCGCCGCGGUAAAACCAGCACCUCAAGUGGUCAGGAGGAUUAUUGGGCCUAAAGCAUCCGUAGCCGGCUCUGUAAGUUUUCGGUUAAAUCCAUGUGCUCAACGCAUGGGCUGCCGAAAAUACUGCAUAGCUAGGGAGUGGGAGAGGUAGACGGUACUCGGUAGGAAGGGGUAAAAUCCUUUGAUCUAUCGAUGACCACCUGUGGCGAAGGCGGUCUACCAGAACACGUUCGACGGUGAGGGAUGAAAGCUGGGGGAGCAAACCGGAUUAGAUACCCGGGUAGUCCCAGCUGUAAACGAUGCAGACUCGAUGAUGCAUUGGCAUAUAGCCAGUGCAGUGUCGCAGGGAAGCCGUUAAGUCUGCCGCCUGGGAAGUACGUACGCAAGUAUGAAACUUAAAGGAAUUGGCGGGGGAGCACCACAAGGGGUGAAGCCUGCGGUUCAAUUGGAUUCAACGCCGG